rnacentral:rRNA from 1 species
CUACGGAGGUAGCAAGCGUUAUUCGGAAUCACUGGGCGUAAAGGACGCGUAGGCGGGUUUGUAAGUCAGGUGUGAAAUCCUACAGCUCAACUGUAGAACUGCACUUGAAACUACAGACCUAGAGUAUGGAAGGGGCAGAUGGAAUUAGUGGUGUAGGGGUAAAAUCCGUAGAUAUCACUAGGAAUACCGAAAGCGAAGGCGAUCUGCUGGGACAUUACUGACGCUGAGGCGUGAAAGCGUGGGGAGCAAACAGGAUUAGAUACCCUAGUAGUCC